UUUAUGUAGAAUUUAUUAUACAUGACCAUUUUAAGUUAUUGAUUGGCCUACUCUGUAAUAGGGGUACACCAGUAAACCAAUCUAUUUUAUGUGUAUAGAGCUUGAUAAAAAAAAGCGUGCCUAAAUUAUACAUAUGGCCAACAAUACAAAGAUAUGCAAUUUCAUGAGUUUAAUCCUUUCAUUAACACUUUUCAGCAUUUCAAGAUUUUCAUUACAUCCAAAGGCUUGAGGGUGAAUCAGUGGACAUAUUUUGUGUUACACAAGCAAGUAAAUCACACCCAUCGCUUCUGUACCUGCGGCGAAGGUUUGCCCAUUCAGAAAGUGUGCUGAACAUCUCUGAAGAUGAAGGCGUGAGAGCAGAUCCAGGAAUUGAGGGACGUAUCAAGAUCUCCGGACAGCCGAAUUUUCUCCAGACAGGCAAAAUUACUGUGACUCUUUCUGAUUUAAGACUAACAGACACAGGGCUUUAUGUCUGUGAUUUCUCGGGAAAUCCAUCAGAUCAGCAUUUGGUGAACACAGCCCUUUUUCUGCUUGUGAAUGCGGCAGGUGAGCAGUGCUCCUGUAGGAGGUAUUCUCUGCUCAUCUAUACCAUCUCUGUAGGAGUGAGUCUGCUCCUACUCACAGUUAUCGCUCUCUUUUUGACACAUAAAAAGCCAAAUGCUCAGCAAGAGCAUCAAACUGCAGUUCCGAUUUAUGAAGACAUGUCAAGUGUGCAAGGAAGCAGUGCAAACCAUUAUCGGAUCUGUCCACCAGAGCCUGAAAGAUCUGCUCCAGGCUGGACCAAAUCCAAUAGAAAGAUUAUGCUGGGAAAACUAUAGAUCCCCCAAAAGGACAGAUCAUGUUUUCUUACAUGCAUCAGCAUCAGAAAAAAAGACGAAGAAAAAUUGCAGCUUGUAUGUGAUAUUUGGAUCCAUUUACAGCUACACAGUUUAAGUGUAGUGGCCUAUUGCUUUUAGACGUAAGUUCAAAUGUAUA